GUAAGAAACCACUCUCGAACGAUGACGCUUUCAACAGUUUCAUUAAACGUGGUAAGAAUAAAUUGAGGAGCAUGGCGACGGUUGGACACCGUAGCGAGGAAACUAGCCACACUUCGGCUGACGUGGCUAAUAAUGGUGUUUCAGUUGUCAAGAACCGUGCUAACAAUAAAGAUGAUCAGAAAGACAACUUUUCAGAUUUUAUCAAGCAUACUAAGAAGAAGUUCAGAACUACAACAAUUGUUGGAAGGAAUAGCUAAGUAAAAAG
rnacentral:lncRNA from 1 species